UAAGGAAUAUUGGUCAAUGGGCGGAAGCCUGAACCAGCCAUGCCGCGUGCAGGAAGACGGCCCUACGGGUUGUAAACUGCUUUUGUACAGGAAUAAACCCCGAUACGUGUAUCGGGCUGAAUGUACUGUAAGAAUAAGGAUCGGCUAACUCCGUGCCAGCAGCCGCGGUAAUACGGAGGAUCCAAGCGUUAUCCGGAUUUAUUGGGUUUAAAGGGUGCGUAGGUGGCCUGGUAAGUCAGGGGUGAAAGACGGUAGCUUAACUAUCGCAGUGCCUUUGAUACUGCCGGGCUUGAAUAAACUAGAGGUAGGCGGAAUGUGACAAGUAGCGGUGAAAUGCAUAGAUAUGUCACAGAACACCGAUUGCGAAGGCAGCUUACUAUGGUUUUAUUGACACUGAGGCACGAAAGCGUGGGGAUCAAACA
rnacentral:rRNA from 1 species